AUCAACGCUGGCGGCGUGCCUCAGACAUGCAAGUCGAACGAUUAAGACUUCCUUCGGGAAAGUGCAUAAAGUGGCGCAUGGGUGCAGUAACACGUAAGUAAUCUACCUUCGAGUGGGGAAUAACAACCGGAAAACGGUUUGCUAAUACCGCAUAAUGCAAGCGGGCAUCGUUAAGAUGACAGUUGUUAAAGGAGCAAUUCGCUUGAAGAGGAGCUUAGCGGCAGAUUAGCUAGUUGGUAAGUGUAAUUGGCUUUACCAAGGUCUACGAUCUGUAUCCGGUCUAAGAGGAUCGGUCGGACACACUGACACUGAAGUAACGGGGUCAGACUCCUACGGGAGGCAGCAGUCGGGAAUUUUGGGCAAUGGGCGAGAAGCCUGACACCAGCAACGCCGCGUGAAGGAUGAAGUAUCUCGGUAUGUAAAACUUCGAAAGAAUGGGGAAGAAACUCAAUGACGGUAACCAUUUAUAAGCUCCGGCUAAACUACGUGCCAGCAGCCGCGCGGUAAUACGUAGGGAGCAAGCGUUGUUCGGAUUUACUGGGCGUAAAGGGCGCGUAGGCGGCAAUUUCAAGUUCAGCGGGUGAAAUCUCUGAGCUUAACUCAGAACGGUCAGCUGAUACUGUGUUGCUAGAGUGCGGAAGGGGCAAUCGGAAUUCUUGGUGAUAGCGGUGAAUGCGUAGAUAUCAAUGAGGAACACCUGAGGUGACAGACGGGUUGCCGGGGCCGACACUGACGCUGACAGCGCGAAAGCCAGGGGAGCAAACGGGAUUAGAUACCCCGGUAGUCCUGGCCUUAAACGAUGAAUACUUGGUGUCUGGAGUCUCUAUAGCUCCGGGUGCCGGUCGCCCUAACGUUUUUAGUAUUCCGCCUGGGGGAGUACGCACGCAAGUGUGAAACUCAAAGGAAUUGACGGGGAACCCGCACAAGCCGGUGGAGCAUGUGGUUUAAUUCGACCGCAACGCGAAGAAACCUUACCUAGGCUAGGAAUGUGAGGGAAUCUUGGGUAACGCCAUAGAGUCUGGGAAACCAGACCCAAAACAAGGUGCUAGCAUGGCUGUCGUCAGCUCCGUGUCGUGACGAUGUUGGGUUAAGUCCCGCAACGAGCGCAACCCCUAUUGAUAGUUGCUAACAUUAAGUUGAGAACUCUAUCAAGACUGCUGUUGAUAAAACGGAGGAAGGUGGGGAUGAUGUCAAGUCAUCAUGGCCUUUAUGCUUAGGGCCUACACAGCGUGCUACAAUGGCCGGUACAAAACGUCGCAAUCUCGUAAGAGGGAAGCUAAUCGCAAAAACCGGUCUCAGUUUCGGAUUGAAGUCUGCAACUCGACCUUCAUGAAGUUGGAAUCGCUAGUAAUCGCAGAUCAGAAUGCUUGCGGUGAAUACGUUCCCGGGUCUUGUACACUACCGCCCGUCACAUCACGAAGUAGGUUGUACUAGAAGUGGCCGGGCCAACCCGUAAGGGAGGCAGGUUACCUACGGUAUGAUUUAUGAUUGGGGUG
rnacentral:rRNA from 1 species